UACGAAGGUGGCGAAUGUUGCUCGGAUUCACUGGGCGUAAAGCGUCUGUAGGUGGCUUGUUAAGUUAGAGGUGAAAUCCCCGCGCUCAACGUGGGAACUGCCUUUAAAACUGGCGAGCUUGAGAGUAUCAGAGGAAGGCGGAAUUACUAGUGUAGAGGUAAAAUUCAUAGAUAUUAGUAGGAACAUCCAUGGCGAAGGCAGCUUUCUGGGGUAUUUCUGACACUGAGAGACGAAAGCGUGGGGAGCAAAC
rnacentral:rRNA from 1 species